UGGAAGACUUGGAUGAAGUUCGGAUGCAAGCAUUCAACCACAUGGCUGUACAGAAGAAGAAAGUGUCAAGGAUCUACAACAAAAGGAUAAAAAGACAUAAUUUUAAAUAAGGAGACUUAAUCUGGAAGACUGUGUUACCUGUUAGUGCCAAAGACAGACAAUUUAGCAAAUGGUCUCGAAAUUGGGAAGGUCCCUUCUAGGUGCAUCAGGUGCUCAGAGGUAAUACUUAUUGGUUGGCAAGCUUUGUAGGAGAGCCACA
rnacentral:misc_RNA from 1 species